GGCGCAGCACUGUGGAGGGUGCUGCCGCUGCCUUCUCCAUCCCUGGACUGCUAGCUGACCACUUCUGCCUCCCGAGAUGAGCUCACGGAUAGCCUGAAGCGCUUACAUCUGCAACAGCAGGCAGAGAGAGCCCGAACUGUGGGGUGAGGUGAGCUAGGAGCCUGGAGGGGAAGCCCUGGAACUGGGCUGCACACUGCAGGUGCCAUCUUGCUGCAAGACAACAAAUAUUGUAGUUCAAUCAUCUUGAAAGAUGUGAAGAAGAAAAAACGAUUUCCAUGUUAGAUAACGACGAACAACAUGACAGUUAUUUGAAAUAUGGGACCAAAGGAUGUCUGUGGGUCAUACAGUUAUUACAGAAUUUUAUUGAAAGACAGUGCCGCCCAGGGCUGGAUUAAGAGCCACACGGGCCUGGGGCUGAAAAUCAUCAGGGGCCUAUUGUGAGAAGCAGAGGAGGUGUGGCCAGUGAUGUGUGAGUGUGGCAAGUGCCAUCAAAAUAAAUAAAUCUGGGCCAUUGUUUUAUAUUUGUAGAAUAAUUUGUGGCUCCACAGUUUUCCUCAUUAUUGCCAGAUGAGAGCACACUUGCUUCAGUUCUACGGUAAAAGAAUUCUAGUUUAAUCAAGACGGCCAUUUCUCAUAU